UGGGGAAUCUUAGACAAUGGGGGAAACCCUGAUCUAGCCAUGCCGCGUGAGCGAUGAAGGCCUUAGGGUUGUAAAGCUCUUUCAGUGGGGAAGAUAAUGACGGUACCCACAGAAGAAGCCCCGGCUAACUCCGUGCCAGCAGCCGCGGUAAUACGGAGGGGGCUAGCGUUGUUCGGAAUUACUGGGCGUAAAGCGCACGGAGGCGGGUUGGAAAGUAAGAGGUGAAAUCCCCGGGCUCAACCGUGGAAC
rnacentral:rRNA from 1 species